GGUCAAGUGAAGAAGCGCAUACGGUGGAUGCCUUGGCAGUCAGAGGCGAUGAAAGACGUGGUAGCCUGCGAAAAGCUUCGGGGAGUCGGCAAACAGACUUUGAUCCGGAGAUCUCUGAAUGGGGGAACCCACCUAGGAUAACCUAGGUAUCUUGUACUGAAUCCAUAGGUGCAAGAGGCGAACCAGGGAACUGAAAAAACAUCUAAGUACCCUGAGGAAAAGAAAUCAACCGAGAUUCCCUUAGUAGUGGCGAGCGAACGGGGAUUAGCCCUUAAGCUUCAUUGAUUUUAGCGGAACGCUCUGGAAAGUGCGGCCAUAGUGGGUGAUAGCCCCGUACGCGAAAGGAUCUUUGAAGUGAAAUCGAGUAGGACGGAGCACGAGAAACUUUGUCUGAACAUGGGGGGACCAUCCUCCAAGGCUAAAUACUACUGACUGACCGAUAGUGAACCAGUACCGUGAGGGAAAGGCGAAAAGAACCCCGGAGAGGGGAGUGAAAUAGAACCUGAAACCGUAUGCGUACAAGCAGUGGGAGCCUACUUGUUAGGUGACUGCGUACCUUUUGUAUAAUGGGUCAGCGACUUAUAUUCAGUGGCAAGCUUAACCGUAUAGGGUAGGCGUAGCGAAAGCGAGUCUUAAUAGGGCGUUUAGUCGCUGGGUAUAGACCCGAAACCGGGCGAUCUAUCCAUGAGCAGGUUGAAGGUUAGGUAACACUGACUGGAGGACCGAACCCACUCCCGUUGAAAAGGUAGGGGAUGACUUGUGGAUCGGAGUGAAAGGCUAAUCAAGCUCGGAGAUAGCUGGUUCUCCUCGAAAGCUAUUUAGGUAGCGCCUCAUGUAUCACUCUGGGGGGUAGAGCAUGUUUCGGCUAGGGGGUCAUCCCGACUUACCAAACCGAUGCAAACUCCGAAUACCCAGAAGUGCCGAGCAUGGGAGACACACGGCGGGUGCUAACGUCCGUCGUGAAAAGGGAAACAACCCAGACCGCCAGCUAAGGUCCCAAAGUUGUGGUUAAGUGGUAAACGAUGUGGGAAGGCUUAGACAGCUAGGAGGUUGGCUUAGAAGCAGCCACCCUUUAAAGAAAGCGUAAUAGCUCACUAGUCGAGUCGGCCUGCGCGGAAGAUGUAACGGGGCUCAAACCACACACCGAAGCUGCGGGUGUCACGUAAGUGACGCGGUAGAGGAGCGUUCUGUAAGCCUGUGAAGGUGAGUUGAGAAGCUUGCUGGAGGUAUCAGAAGUGCGAAUGCUGACAUGAGUAACGACAAUGGGUGUGAAAAACACCCACGCCGAAAGACCAAGGGUUCCUGCGCAACGUUAAUCGACGCAGGGUUAGUCGGUUCCUAAGGCGAGGCUGAAAAGCGUAGUCGAUGGGAAACAGGUUAAUAUUCCUGUACUUCUGGUUACUGCGAUGGAGGGACGGAGAAGGCUAGGCCAGCUUGGCGUUGGUUGUCCAAGUUUAAGGUGGUAGGCUGAAAUCUUAGGUAAAUCCGGGGUUUCAAGGCCGAGAGCUGAUGACGAGUCGUCUUUUAGAUGACGAAGUGGUUGAUGCCAUGCUUCCAAGAAAAGCUUCUAAGCUUCAGGUAACCAGGAACCGUACCCCAAACCGACACAGGUGGUCGGGUAGAGAAUACCAAGGCGCUUGAGAGAACUCGGGUGAAGGAACUAGGCAAAAUGGCACCGUAACUUCGGGAGAAGGUGCGCCGGCUAGGGUGAAGGAUUUACUCCGUAAGCUCUGGCUGGUCGAAGAUACCAGGCCGCUGCGACUGUUUAUUAAAAACACAGCACUCUGCAAACACGAAAGUGGACGUAUAGGGUGUGACGCCUGCCCGGUGCCGGAAGGUUAAUUGAUGGGGUUAGCGCAAGCGAAGCUCUUGAUCGAAGCCCCGGUAAACGGCGGCCGUAACUAUAACGGUCCUAAGGUAGCGAAAUUCCUUGUCGGGUAAGUUCCGACCUGCACGAAUGGCGUAACGAUGGCGGCGCUGUCUCCACCCGAGACUCAGUGAAAUUGAAAUCGCUGUGAAGAUGCAGUGUAUCCGCGGCUAGACGGAAAGACCCCGUGAACCUUUACUGUAGCUUUGCACUGGACUUUGAGCCUGCUUGUGUAGGAUAGGUGGGAGGCUUUGAAGCGUGGACGCCAGUUCGCGUGGAGCCAUCCUUGAAAUACCACCCUGGCAUGCUUGAGGUUCUAACUCUGGUCCGUAAUCCGGAUCGAGGACAGUGUAUGGUGGGCAGUUUGACUGGGGCGGUCUCCUCCUAAAGAGUAACGGAGGAGUACGAAGGUGCGCUCAGACCGGUCGGAAAUCGGUCGUAGAGUAUAAAGGCAAAAGCGCGCUUGACUGCGAGACAGACACGUCGAGCAGGUACGAAAGUAGGUCUUAGUGAUCCGGUGGUUCUGUAUGGAAGGGCCAUCGCUCAACGGAUAAAAGGUACUCCGGGGAUAACAGGCUGAUACCGCCCAAGAGUUCAUAUCGACGGCGGUGUUUGGCACCUCGAUGUCGGCUCAUCACAUCCUGGGGCUGAAGCCGGUCCCAAGGGUAUGGCUGUUCGCCAUUUAAAGUGGUACGCGAGCUGGGUUUAGAACGUCGUGAGACAGUUCGGUCCCUAUCUGCCGUGGACGUUUGAGAUUUGAGAGGGGCUGCUCCUAGUACGAGAGGACCGGAGUGGACGAACCUCUGGUGUUCCGGUUGUCACGCCAGUGGCAUUGCCGGGUAGCUAUGUUCGGAAAAGAUAACCGCUGAAAGCAUCUAAGCGGGAAACUUGCCUCAAGAUGAGAUCUCACUGGGAACUUGAUUCCCCUGAAGGGCCGUCGAAGACUACGACGUUGAUAGGCUGGGUGUGUAAGCGUUGUGAGGCGUUGAGCUAACCAGUACUAAUUGCCCGUGAGGCUUGACCAU
rnacentral:rRNA from 1 species